UCAGAUUGAACGCUGGCGGCAGGCCUAACACAUGCAAGUCGAACGGUAGCACAGAGAGCUUGCUCUCGGGUGACGAGUGGCGGACGGGUGAGUAAUGUCUGGGAAACUGCCCGAUGGAGGGGGAUAACUACUGGAAACGGUAGCUAAUACCGCAUAACGUCUUCGGACCAAAGUGGGGGACCUUCGGGCCUCACACCAUCGGAUGUGCCCAGAUGGGAUUAGCUAGUAGGUGGGGUAAYGGCUCACCUAGGCGACGAUCCCUAGCUGGUCUGAGAGGAUGACCAGCCACACUGGAACUGAGACACGGUCCAGACUCCUACGGGAGGCAGCWGUGGGGAAUAUUGCACKAUGGGCGCAAGCYUGAUGCAGCCWUGCCGCGUGUAUGAAGAAGGCYUUCGGGUUGUAAAGUACUUUCAGUGGGGAGGAAGGCGAUGAAGUUAAUAACUUCGUCGAUGACGUA
rnacentral:rRNA from 1 species